CCUACGGGUGGCAGCAGUGAGGAAUAUUGGUCAAUGGGCGGAAGCCUGAACCAGCCAAGUAGCGUGCAGGAUGACGGCCCUACGGGUUGUAAACUGCUUUUAUCCGGGAAUAACGCGCCUUACGUGUAGUGCUUUGCAUGUACCUGAAGAAUAAGCACCGGCUAAUCCCGUGCCAGCAGCCGCGGUAAUACGGAAGGUCCGGGCGUUAUCCGGAUUUAUUGGGUUUAAAGGGUGCGUAGGCCGCAGGGCAAGCGUGCUGUGAAAUGUGCGGGCUCAACCCGGGCCGUGCAGCGGGAACUGAGGUGCGUGAGUCCGCGGAGGGCAGGCGGAAUUCGUGGUGUAGCGGUGAAAUGCUUAGAUAUGACGAAGAACCCCGAUUGCGAAGGCAGCUUGCUGCAGCGGAACUGACGCUGAUGCUCGAAAGCGCGGGUAUCGAACAGGAUUAGAUACCCUUGUAGUC
rnacentral:rRNA from 1 species